GACGAACCGAGCGAACGUUGUUCGGAAUCACUGGGCUUAAAGGGCGCGUAGGCGGGCCGCCAAGUUCGAGGUGAAAUCCUCCGGCUCAACCGGAGAACUGCCUCGAAUACUGGAGGCCUCGAGGCGGGUAGGGGCACGCGGAACUGUGGGUGGAGCGGUGAAAUGCGUUGAUAUCCACAGGAACGCCGGUGGCGAAGGCGGCGUGCUGGACCCGAUCUGACGCUGAGGCGCGAAAGCUAGGGGAGCAAACGGG
rnacentral:rRNA from 1 species